AUUGAACGCUGGCGGCAUGCCUUACACAUGCAAGUCGAACGGCAGCGGGGACUUCGGUCCGCCGGCGAGUGGCGAACGGGUGAGUAAUGUAUCGGAACGUACCUUUCAGUGGGGGAUAACGUAGCGAAAGUUACGCUAAUACCGCAUAUUCUGUGAGCAGGAAAGCAGGGGAUCGCAAGACCUUGCGCUGAUUGAGCGGCCGAUAUCAGAUUAGCUAGUUGGUGAGGUAAAGGCUCACCAAGGCGACGAUCUGUAGCGGGUCUGAGAGGAUGAUCCGCCACACUGGAACUGAGACACGGUCCAGACUCCUACGGGAGGCAGCAGUGGGGAAUUUUGGACAAUGGGGGCAACCCUGAUCCAGCCAUGCCGCGUGAGUGAAGAAGGCCUC
rnacentral:rRNA from 1 species